GACGAACGCUGGCGGCGUGCCUAAUACAUGCAAGUAGAACGCUGAAGGAGGAGCUUGCUCUUCUGGAUGAGUUGCGAACGGGUGAGUAACGCGUAGGUAACCUGCCUGGUAGCGGGGGAUAACUAUUGGAAACGAUAGCUAAUACCGCAUAACAUUGACUAUUGCAUGAUAGUCAAUUAAAAGGUGCAAUUGCACCACUACCAGAUGGACCUGCGCUGUAUUAGCUAGUUGGUGGGGUAACGGCUCACCAAGGCGACGAUACAUAGCCGACCUGAGAGGGUGAUCGGCCACACUGGGACUGAGACACGGCCCAGACUCCUACGGGAGGCAGCAGUAGGGAAUCUUCGGCAAUGGACGGAAGUCUGACCGAGCAACGCCGCGUGAGUGAAGAAGGUUUUCGGAUCGUAAAGCUCUGUUGUAAGAGAAGAACGAGUGUGAGAGUGAAAAGUUUCACCAC
rnacentral:rRNA from 1 species